AUGUGUGAAUUAACGUAGAAAGUGGAUGCCUAGGCUUGUUUGGCCGAUGAAGGACGCGUAGCCCGCGAAAGUCGACGGUUAGCUGGCAAAAAGCUUUAACCCGUCGGUGUCCGAAUGGGGAAACCCCGUUUUGUGAAAACAAGAUGACUGUCUCGCUCUGCGAGGCGGGGGUAAGUCGGGGAACUGAAAUAUCUUAGUACCCGGAGGAAAAGAAAUCGUAAGAGAUUCCCUUAGUAAGCGACGAGCGAACAGGGAAAAGCCCAAACCCCACCUUUGGUGGGGGGUUGUAGGACUCUCAAUCGGAAGAUGGCGGAUAGCAGAAUGUUCUGGAAUGAAUAACCAAAGAACGUGAAAGUCGUGUAUGCGAAAUCCAAAAUUAACUCGAGAGAUUCCUGAUUAGGAUGGGAGACGGCAAACUCCCGUUUUAAGCUGGGGUGACCACACUCCAAGGCUAAAUACCAAACAAGACCGAUAGUGAACGAGUACCGUGAGGGAAAGGUGAAAAGAAGGGUGGAAUACCCAAUGAAAUAGUAUCUGAAACUUUCUACUAACAAACAGAGAGAGUCCCGCUUUCGCGGGAUGAUCUCGUGCCUAUUGAAGAAUGAGCCGGCGAGUAUUCGGUAACUGCAAGGCUAAGAGAUUUUCAUCUUGUAGCCGUAGUGAAAGCGAGAGUCCUUGUCACGCCUAGCGUGAUGGGGAACGUGCCUGAAUAGGGCGCAAGUAGUUACUGAAUGACCCGAACCCAGGUGAGCUAUCCGUGGCCAGGGUGAACUGCAUCGAGAGAUGUGGGAAAGCCCGCACCGGUGACUGCUGCAAGAGUCUCGGAUGAGCUGCGGAUAGAGGUAAUAUGCCAAUCGAACCUGGAGCUAGCUGGUUCUCCCCGAAAUAUAUUUAGGUAUAGGGUUACGCUAUAGAUUGAUGGGGGUAGAGCACUGAUCGGGCGUCCGGAGGGAAACCUCCAGCGCCUAGUCAAACUCCGAAUACCAUCAAUUCUGGCGUGGCACUCAGUACUCGGGAGCUAAGUUCCGAGGGCGAGCAGGGUAACAUCCCAAACCCACAGUUAAGGUCUCUAAUAAUCGUUUAGUGGUAAAGGAAGUGUAGAUCCUAAGACAACUAGGAGGUCGGCUCAGAAGCAGCCAUCCUUUAAAGAAAGCGUAACAGCUCACUAGCCGUAGGAUUUAUGCGCCGAAAAUGUUCGAGGCUCAAACGAUUAACCGAAGCUUGGGGUUUCAACCUUAUAGUUGGAGCGGUAGGGGAGCGUUCUGUGUGCAUUGAAGGUCAGCCGUAAGGACUGGCUGGAGCGAUCAGAAGUGAGAAUGCCGGCAUGAGUAACGAUAUUGAAGCGAGAAUCUUCAACUCCGAAAAUCCAAAGUUUCCGCACCCACGUUCGUCGUGUGCGGGUUAGGCGACCCUAAGGUCAGUCCUGCUCAAGCAGGAGUAGCCGAUGGAUUACCGGUUAAUAUUCCGGUGCUGGGUUUGAUUCGUUAUCAACUAGGGAAUGACGAUGCAGGAUAGCAUUUAUCAAGAUGUGAAGUCUUGGUCUAAUCAUUAAGCAAGUCUGGAUUGGCAAAUCCGUUCAGACGAACCUCCUUAACACGGAAAAUAUGCGAGAUGUGAUGGGACUUGCCAAACUUCGGUGCGGCAGGUUAAAUGUGAGUUCAGCAUCCUAGAAAAGUUUCGCAGUGAGAAUCAAAUCCAUUCGUACUUCAAACCGACACAGGUGGAUAGGUCGAGUAGACCAAGGAGCGCGAGAGAAACUAGUUUAAGGAACUCGGCAAAAUAGCUGGGCGUAAUUUUGAGAGAUGCCCUUCCCGCCGCAAGGCGGGACACAGCAAAAGAUGUUUCGUCGACUGUUUACCAAAAACACAGGUCUGUGCAAACUCGAAAGAGGAAGUAUACGGGCUGAUACCUGCCCGGUGCUGGAAGGUCACGGAAGUGAGUUCCCCGCUCUGCGGGGGGCUUACGACUUAAGCCCCAGUGAACGGCAGCAGUAACUAUAACUGUUCUAAGGUAGCGAAGUACCUUGUCACUUAAUUGGUGACGCGCACGAAAGGUUUAACGAGCGAGACACUGUCUUGAACUAGUACUCGGUGAAAUUGAAAUGGCCGUGAAUAUGCGGUCUACUGACGGCUGGACAAAAAGACCCCGUAGAGCUUUACUGUAGCUUGAUACUGAUGCUUUAUUCAGAAUUGUCUAGUAUAGGUGGGAGCUUGACUACUUGGUAGUCAAGCGACAGUGUAAUACCACUCGUUUUGUAUAGAGUAUCUAACCUAAGACCAAUGCAAACUUGGUCAGGGACAAUGUCAGGUGGGCAGUUUAACUGGGGAGGUUGCUUGCUAAAAGGUAACGCAAGCGCGCAAAGG
rnacentral:rRNA from 1 species